rnacentral:rRNA from 1 species
GAGUUUGAUCAUGGCUCAGGAUGAACGCUAGCGGCAGGCUUAACACAUGCAAGUCGAGGGGUAACGGGGAAGCUUGCUUCCGCCGACGACCGGCGCACGGGUGCGUAACGCGUAUACAAUCUACCUUGUACUGGGGUAUAGCCUUUAGAAAUGAAGAUUAACCCCCCAUAGUCUCUUAGAGUGGCAUCACUUCUAGAGUAAAGGUUACGGUAUAAGAUGAGUAUGCGUUCUAUUAGUUUGUUGGUGUGGUAACGGCACACCAAGACUACGAUAGAUAGGGGCCCUGAGAGGGGGAUCCCCCACACUGGUACUGAGACACGGACCAGACUCCUACGGGAGGCAGCAGUGAGGAAUAUUGGACAAUGGAGGCAACUCUGAUCCAGCCAUGCCGCGUGCAGGAAGACUGCCCUAUGGGUUGUAAACUGCUUUUAUACAGGAAGAAACACCUCUACGUGUAGAGGCUUGACGGUACUGUAAGAAUAAGGAUCGGCUAACUCCGUGCCAGCAGCCGCGGUAAUACGGAGGAUCCAAGCGUUAUCCGGAAUCAUUGGGUUUAAAGGGUCCGUAGGUGGAUAAUUAAGUCAGAGGUGAAAUCUUGCAGCUCAACUGUAAAAUUGCCUUUGAAACUGGUUAUCUUGAGUUAUUUAUGAAGUAGUUAGAAUAUGUAGUGUAGCGGUGAAAUGCAUAGAUAUUACAUAGAAUACCAAUUGCGAAGGCAGAUUACUAAUAAUCAACUGACACUGAUGGACGAAAGCGUGGGUAGCGAACAGGAUUAGAUACCCUGGUAGUCCACGCCGUAAACGAUGGUUACUAGCUGUUUGGACUUCGGUCUGAGUGGCUAAGCGAAAGUGAUAAGUAACCCACCUGGGGAGUACGUUCGCAAGAAUGAAACUCAAAGGAAUUGACGGGGGCCCGCACAAGCGGUGGAGCAUGUGGUUUAAUUCGAUGAUACGCGAGGAACCUUACCAGGGCUUAAAUGUAAGUUGCAUUAGUUAGAGAUAGCUAUUUCUUCGGACCACUUACAAGGUGCUGCAUGGUUGUCGUCAGCUCGUGCCGUGAGGUGUCAGGUUAAGUCCUAUAACGAGCGCAACCCCUGUUGUUAGUUGCCAGCGAGUCAUGUCGGGAACUCUAGCAAGACUGCCAGUGCAAACUGUGAGGAAGGUGGGGAUGACGUCAAAUCAUCACGGCCCUUACGUCCUGGGCUACACACGUGCUACAAUGGUAGGUACAGAGAGCAGCCACUGCGCGAGCAGGAGCAAAUCUAUAAAACCUAUCACAGUUCGGAUCGGAGUCUGCAACUCGACUCCGUGAAGCUGGAAUCGCUAGUAAUCGGAUAUCAGCCAUGAUCCGGUGAAUACGUUCCCGGGCCUUGUACACACCGCCCGUCAAGCCAUGGAAGUUGGAAGUGCCUGAAGUCCGUCACCGUAAGGAGCGGCCUAGGGUAAAGUCGAUAACUAGGGCUAAGUCGUAACAAGGUAACC